rnacentral:rRNA from 1 species
AUGAACGCUGGCGGCGUGCCUAAUACAUGCAAGUCGAGCGAACAGACGAGGAGCUUGCUCCUCUGACGUUAGCGGCGGACGGGUGAGUAACACGUGGAUAACCUACCUAUAAGUCUGGGAUAACUUCGGGAAACCGGAGCUAAUACCGGAUAAUAUCUUGAACCGCAUGGUUCAAUAGUGAAAGACGGUUUUGCUGUCACUUAUAGAUGGAUCUGCGCCGCAUUAGCUAGUUGGUAAGGUAACGGCUUACCAAGGCAACGAUGCGUAGCCGACCUGAGUGGGGGAUCGGCCACACUGGAACUGAGACACGGUCCAGACUCCUACGGGAGGCAGCAGUAGGGAAUCUUCCGCAAUGGGCGAAAGCCUGACGGAGCAACGCGGCGUGGGUGAUGAAGGUCUUCGGAUCGUAAAACUCUGUUAUGAGGAAAGAACAAAUGUGUAAGUAACUAUGCACGUCUUGACGGUACCUAAUCAGAAAGCCACGGCUAACUACGU